rnacentral:rRNA from 1 species
AACGUAGGUGGCGAGCGUUAUCCGGAUUUACUGGGCGUAAAGGGUGUGCAGGCGGGCUGUUAAGUGGGGUCUGAAAUAUCCCGGCUCAACCGGGAAGGGUUAUGCCAGACUGGCAGUCUAGAGAGCGAGAGAGGGACGUGGAAUUCCGGGUGUAGUGGUGAAAUUCGUAGAUAUUCGCAAGAACACCAGUGGCGAAGGCGGCUCACUGGCCCGAUACUGACGCUGAGGUGCGAAAGCGUGGGGAGCAAACAGG